rnacentral:rRNA from 1 species
UACGUAGGGUGCGAGCGUUGUCCGGAAUUAUUGGGCGUAAAGAGCUCGUAGGCGGUCUGUCGCGUCGAUCGUGAAAACUUGGGGCUUAACCCUGAGCUUGCGGUCGAUACGGGCAUGACUGGAGUUCGGCAGGGGAGACUGGAAUUCCUGGUGUAGCGGUGAAAUGCGCAGAUAUCAGGAGGAACACCGGUGGCGAAAGCGGCUUCCUGGUCCAGCACCGACGUUCAGGCACGAAAGCGUGGGGAGCAAACAGG